UGAAGAUCUAAUGUACAGCAUGGUAACUAUAAUUAGUAAUGCUGUAUGUGGGAAUUAACUGGUGGUCCAGUAGCUAAGACGUGAGGCUCCCAAGGCAGGGGGCCCAAGUUCAAUCCUUGGUCAGGGAACUAGAUCUGACAAGCUGCAACUAAAGAUGCUGUGUGCCACAACUAAGGCUUGGUAGAGCCAAAUAAAUAAAUAAAUAUUUUUAAAAAUAAUAAUAAUGUUAUAUUGUGUACCUGAGAGCUGCUAAGGGAAUAGCUCUUAAGUGUUCUUACCACACACACACAGACAAAAAGAGAUAACUGUAAGAUAAUGGAUGUAUUAAUUAACUUGAUUAUGGUAAUCAUUUUAUAAUGUACAUGUAUAUCAAGUCAUCUUGUGCACCUUAAAUAUAUGCAAUUUUGUCAAUUAUACUUCAAUAAAGCUGAAAAAAAAAAAACACCAUGCCUCAGUGUCUUCUCAAAUGAGAAGCAUCUGAAUGAGCAGCUAAUGCGUGAAGCAAGAACUGAAAGCAGAAAGAAGAUGGAUCAAGAGGACAGGAGAGAUAAGCAAACAAAGCAGCAUCUUCCAUGGACAUCAGUACCUUUUCCCAACAAGUCCAAGACCCAGGGCUCCAAAAUACCACUCAUAAGGUUGUACUUCCAGCUACUUGCCUGUUUCCACGUGUGCGUGCUAAGUCACUUCAGUAGUAUCCAGUUCUUUGCAACCCCAUGGACUGUAGACCGCCAGGCUCCUCUGUCCUCUCUCCUGGAUUCUCGAGGCAAGAAGACUGGAGUGGGUUGCCAUGUCCUCCUCCAGGGAAUCUCCCAGACCCAGAGACUGAACCUGUGUCUCUUAUGUCUCCUGCAUUGGCAAGCAGGUUCUCUACCACUAGCGCCGCCUGGGAAGCCCCCUUUUCCAUAAGCAGUACCUGUUUCUGUUACAGGAUUUCAGUUUUUAGAGUGCACUGAAGUAAUCUGUGGGGCUUUAUAAAGUACAAAUUGCAGGACUCCAGAACCAAAAUCUUUUUAGUAGAGCUUGGGAAUCAUUCAUUCUCACUAUUAAUCUGUCCUAAAAUACUCUUCCAAGAUUUAGCCCUCCCCCUUCUUGUCUUUUAGCAAAUUUCCAUUUAUCCUUUAAGAUCUUGGUCCAGUAUUUUCUAUCCAAGAUCUUUCCUGCCCUCCCCAUAGAACAGAAGCCACUCCUUAGUCAUUGUGCCCAUGAGACUUUAAAUAUUAUUCAAAUACAUAGAUUGAUAAAUUAUUUGUGUUAAAAAUAUAUCCCUUAUGAUUCCCAACAGUAUUUAUCAUCAUCUGCCAUAUUAUGUAUUUUAUUUAUUUAUUUAUGUUUCUACCCUCUAGUGUGUAUGCUCCAAUGGGUAGGGGUUUUUUUUCCCCCCCAACUCUUUAAUAAAUUAAAAAUAUCAAAGGAAAACCUGUGAGAGAAAAACUUCUGUCACCACUGUUGAAGAAAGCUACUCAAGACCAUGCAACACAAUGAAGAAAUAACUACCAUCUUCAAAAAUGAGAGAUAACAACAUUUUCAGAAUAUUUUGCAUCAGACCAUGAAGGAUAGCAUGAAAUUAAAAUAUACUAUCAAUUUUGGUUUUGUUUCCAUAAAUGAUAUCUUCAUAAUAUUCAGUUACAUAAGUUUGCUUUUUUCUGCUAUUAUAGACUUUGCCCUGAACUGCUGAGCAAAAAAUUCUAGGCUCUAACUCUGGUUCUGUCUGCAGAAUACUGAGAAACCUCCUUUCACCAUUGUUCUGGGUCUUGUUUUCUUCUUCUUUAAAAUAAACGAGCUAAAUUCGAAUGAGUAGUUUAUAAGCAGUUGGUAGUAGAAUUCUUUUUACUACCUAGAUAAAUGGGAAAUAACAUAUAGAUGGGAUGAGAAGUCUCACUCCAUCUUGACCUCAACAGUCCAUUCACCCCUCUGAUGACCCUAAGGCUCCCAGUUCUGUGUAUAUCUUUUUCAAAAUGUUUGAGGUAUAAAUAUGAAAAGUAUUUAUGAAACAAGUAAAUGGAUAUAUAUUAUAUGAUCUGCCAUGUUCACAGAUAUAAUAAAAUUAACUGAAGGAAG
ensembl:lincRNA